AAUUCCAUGCUUUCGUUCUUUUUUAAACACAGAAACAGUUUUGUUUACCUGUUUUGUAGCUACAGUUUCGCCGACGGCUGCCGGCUUCUUCAGGCUGACGCUGAUGGUGGUGCGUCACUUCCUUCUCCGUUUAUCUGUGGGCAGCAGAGGACGUUGUCGCCCUCUACUGCCCGCUCUCCCCUCUCCGACGAUGCAGUCCCAUGCGUGGUCCAGCGUGUAAACUCCGUCGUCCCUGUUCAUGGUCCCACAUCCACGUCUCCUUAUCUCGAUUGCUUCCUUGAUCCAUCUUUUGUAUGUUUGUUGUUCGGUGGUUAUGAUCCGUGUGCUGUCCCAGUCCAUUAUAUGGUUUUCUCUUAUGCAAUGAUCUGUUACGGCUGACUUCCUUAUUGUACUUUCUGCUUCUUCUUUUGCUGCUCUUGUGUGUUUUCGAUUUGCCUCUUUCUCGCACUCCUUUCUGUGUUCUAUUGUUCGUGUGUUGAGUUGGCAUCUGGUUUCUCCUAUGUAUGUUUUAUUGCAGAGUUUGCAUGGGAUUUCGUAAACGACUCCACAUUUUUGUCCAGCUGAUAUUUAGUCUUUUGGGUGCACUAGUCUGUUUCUAACUGUUGUGUAUGGUUUUGUUGGUGUGUUUAUGUUGUGUUUUUUCAUUGUUUCUCUUAUUUUUUCCGUUAUGCCUCUGAUGUAUGGUAGGGUUAUCGCUGGUUUUGGUUCUUGUCUUUCUGUGUUUCUGGUUCUUUUUUUGGGUUGUUCUUUGCUUUCUGUUUCUGUUUGUCGUUUUCCUUUGUUUAUCGCCCAUGUCGGGUAUCUGCAGGUCUUUAAAGCGUGUUGUAUGUGUUUGUCCUCUUGUUUUCGGUCUCUUUCUUCUGAUAUUAUGUUUGUUCGGUGAUAUAAUGUUCUGAUUACUGACAUUUUGUGUAUGGUGGGGUGUUCUGAUGUCCAUAAUAGAUAUUGGUCUGUGUGUGUUGGUUUCCUGUAUGUGUUUAUGUUUAGGGUCCCGUCGGUCUGUCUGGUGAUUUUCAUAUCCAUAUAAGCUAUGCUGCCUUCUGAUUCUAACUCAUAAGUGAAUUUUAUGUUGCCUGUGUCGUCAAUGUUGUUUAAAUGUUGUGUUAGUGUUUCUGUUUGUCCUUUUGGUAUGAUUUCCAGUCCUCUGCUGCCCGCAGAUAAAUGGAGAAGGAAGUGACGCACCACCAUCAGCGUCAGCCUGAAGAAGCCGGCAGCCGUCGGCGAAACUGUAGCUACAAAACAGAGGCUGAAGCGGUAGCAGCCGGCUGUUUCUCCUUCUCUGAUGUUAUCGAGCGAAGAACCUCUCACACCGGUGGUGUUCUGGUGCUGAACACGUGAGAGUGUGAGGAGUGGAGGACCCAGGGAAGUGCAGCGGCUCGGUGAGACCGACAACUGAAUGGUCCGAUGGUUGGUUCCGGACCGCACCGUGCUUUUGACGCAAGUUUUUAGGCGAGAGAGCCACUUCAUAAAAUAUUUUCUUUUUUUCAAUCUCCACAACAUAUUCAUACGAUGUUAAACAUUGUUAAGAGGCAGGAAAAAUGUUUUGAUCUCAUUUGUUUUACAGAUUUGCCGUUGCAGCUUUAAAGUGUUGGUUCUGCUGGGCGGUCCAGGCCUGAACCCACCUUACAGACCCUGCUGGUUUUAUUCCACAUCCUGUUUUUAUUCAAUUGAACUCAUUUGUCCGAUCCUACAGGAGUAACCUGAAAAACCUCCUCCCUCUCCUCCUUCACCACCUGGAUAUUAUAUGACUCUGAAAAAGCCAUGUUGGAUGUUUUUAUCUUCAUACGAGUGUUACAGAAGAGCAAAUACACCUGGACUGGAGUUUGGGUCAUUUUUCAAACCGUAUCUCCUCCUGUCUCUGCUGUUUUCUAAGCCUCCAGUUCCAGCAUAAAUGCCUCUGAAACAUGACAGACGUGAUGUUAUGUACACUGGUUUUAUCUCAGCCCAGCUGUGUGAAGAAUGUGUGAGCUCCAGUCAAAUCCACCAGAAUCACAGGUUCUGUAGAUCCCAGCAGUCUGCCCAACAGGUCUAUGGUCAUGCCUUUAGCAGAAGCUUUGCUCUACAGCCUCUUCCACAGAGGUGAGGCAGCAGGGCAGGUGGAGUGGAGGUGUGAUCCACCCAGAGAGUCCUGGCUUGGCACCCAGGUCAGUUUCCCAAAGAGGUGUCCAGGAGACUUCCUGCAGACCAUCUAAACCAAAGAAGAUGAGCAGAUCUCUAGCCCAAGCUCCCUAUCCAGGAUCCUGUUCUUUCAGCUCAGAUCCAGUCCAGAGACACCAGGAAACUUGCCUCGUCCACCAGAGGUAAUAAUCUCCUGACCCAGGAGGACCGGUCCAUCUGUUCUCAGGUCAAGACCCGUGGCCUCGCGGGCUCGCUGUGCCUUUGCCCUCCAAGAACUUUCAUUUGUUAAUUCUGUUUCACAAGGAAGUUGCUCAGAUCCAAUUUCUCUUCUUCCAGAGAGUUUGGUGAAGAUGGCGGCUCAGUUCCAAAGUUACAAAGAUAAAAAUUAAAACAUUUUCCGAACUGAGUUUGUUUAAAAUGUUUGAU